CAUGCAUGCCACUUCUCAGUACAUGUGGGGCGUUCAGGACACAGACUUGGUACUGAGGAAGGCGCUGUUCAGCACGCUCAAGGAAACAGACACACGCAACUUUAAAUUCCGCUGGCAACUGGAGUCUCUCAAAUCUCAGGAAUUUGUUGAAACGGGGCUUUGCUAUGAUACUCGGACUGGAAUGAUGAAUGGGACAAUCUUAUCAAAAUGGCUUCCACAGACACACCCAUG
rnacentral:lncRNA from 1 species